rnacentral:rRNA from 1 species
AGCGUACACGGUGGAUGCCCUGGCAGUCAGAGGCGAUGAAGGACGUGCUAAUCUGCGAUAAGCGUCGGUAAGGUGAUAUGAACCGUUAUAACCGGCGAUUUCCGAAUGGGGAAACCCAGUGUGAUUCGUCACACUAUCAUUAACUGAAUCCAUAGGUUAAUGAGGCGAACCGGGGGAACUGAAACAUCUAAGUACCCCGAGGAAAAGAAAUCAACCGAGAUUCCCCCAGUAGCGGCGAGCGAACGGGGAGCAGCCCAGAGCCUGAAUCAGUGUGUGUGUUAGUGGAAGCGUCUGGAAAGGCGCGCGAUACAGGGUGACAGCCCCGUACACAAAAAUGCACAUACUGUGAGCUCGAUGAGUAGGGCGGGACACGUGGUAUCCUGUCUGAAUAUGGGGGGACCAUCCUCCAAGGCUAAAUACUCCUGACUGACCGAUAGUGAACCAGUACCGUGAGGGAAAGGCGAAAAGAACCCCGGCGAGGGGAGUGAAAAAGAACCUGAAACCGUGUACGUACAAGCAGUGGGAGCACGCUUAGGCGUGUGACUGCGUACCUUUUGUAUAAUGGGUCAGCGACUUAUAUUCUGUAGCAAGGUUAACCGAAUAGGGGAGCCGAAGGGAAACCGAGUCUUAACUGGGCGUUAAGUUGCAGGGUAUAGACCCGAAACCCGGUGAUCUAGCCAUGGGCAGGUUGAAGGUUGGGUAACACUAACUGGAGGACCGAACCGACUAAUGUUGAAAAAUUAGCGGAUGACUUGUGGCUGGGGGUGAAAGGCCAAUCAAACCGGGAGAUAGCUGGUUCUCCCCGAAAGCUAUUUAGGUAGCGCCUCGUGAAUUCAUCUCCGGGGGUAGAGCACUGUUUCGGCAAGGGGGUCAUCCCGACUUACCAACCCGAUGCAAACUGCGAAUACCGGAGAAUGUUAUCACGGGAGACACACGGCGGGUGCUAACGUCCGUCGUGAAGAGGGAAACAACCCAGACCGCCAGCUAAGGUCCCAAAGUCAUGGUUAAGUGGGAAACGAUGUGGGAAGGCCCAGACAGCCAGGAUGUUGGCUUAGAAGCAGCCAUCAUUUAAAGAAAGCGUAAUAGCUCACUGGUCGAGUCGGCCUGCGCGGAAGAUGUAACGGGGCUAAACCAUGCACCGAAGCUGCGGCAGCGACGCUUAUGCGUUGUUGGGUAGGGGAGCGUUCUGUAAGCCUGUGAAGGUGUGCUGUGAGGCAUGCUGGAGGUAUCAGAAGUGCGAAUGCUGACAUAAGUAACGAUAAAGCGGGUGAAAAGCCCGCUCGCCGGAAGACCAAGGGUUCCUGUCCAACGUUAAUCGGGGCAGGGUGAGUCGACCCCUAAGGCGAGGCCGAAAGGCGUAGUCGAUGGGAAACAGGUUAAUAUUCCUGUACUUGGUGUUACUGCGAAGGGGGGACGGAGAAGGCUAUGUUGGCCGGGCGACGGUUGUCCCGGUUUAAGCGUGUAGGCUGGUUUUCCAGGCAAAUCCGGAAAAUCAAGGCUGAGGCGUGAUGACGAGGCACUACGGUGCUGAAGCAACAAAUGCCCUGCUUCCAGGAAAAGCCUCUAAGCAUCAGGUAACAUCAAAUCGUACCCCAAACCGACACAGGUGGUCAGGUAGAGAAUACCAAGGCGCUUGAGAGAACUCGGGUGAAGGAACUAGGCAAAAUGGUGCCGUAACUUCGGGAGAAGGCACGCUGAUAUGUAGGUGAAGUCCCUCGCGGAUGGAGCUGAAAUCAGUCGAAGAUACCAGCUGGCUGCAACUGUUUAUUAAAAACACAGCACUGUGCAAACACGAAAGUGGACGUAUACGGUGUGACGCCUGCCCGGUGCCGGAAGGUUAAUUGAUGGGGUCAGCGCAAGCGAAGCUCUUGAUCGAAGCCCCGGUAAACGGCGGCCGUAACUAUAACGGUCCUAAGGUAGCGAAAUUCCUUGUCGGGUAAGUUCCGACCUGCACGAAUGGCGUAAUGAUGGCCAGGCUGUCUCCACCCGAGACUCAGUGAAAUUGAACUCGCUGUGAAGAUGCAGUGUACCCGCGGCAAGACGGAAAGACCCCGUGAACCUUUACUAUAGCUUGACACUGAACAUUGAGCCUUGAUGUGUAGGAUAGGUGGGAGGCUUUGAAGUGUGGACGCCAGUCUGCAUGGAGCCG